GCAGAGCAGAUUGGUUAAGGACUAAGUUAGUUGAUCAUUUCCUAAGACAAGACUAGGACUAGCAGCAAAGGUGGUAUGGAUACUAUCAAGAUGAGAGGAGAAGUGGACAAACUGAAAACUAGUUCAAGGUCUAACUUUACAAACAUGACCUACCCACUGUGGCAUCCCUCUUACGCUUAGCCUGAUGUGCUUUGGUAGAGGAAGCACCACCCAUAUGAGUCUGCAUUUGCCAAAGGUGCCUUAGAAGAAAGGGAAAGAACUGGAACAGGUCAGCAAGUCCCAUGCUAAUGGGACUCAUGUCAAGCUGGGUCAAGUUGGGGUGUAGAUCUCUCAUUGAGAGCUAAAGCAUGGCGCUAAAAUAAGGGAAAGCAGAGACAUAGAAAACAAUCAAAUCUGAAGAAACCAGAGGAUGGAGAUGGAGGCUGUAGAACAAGGUGGGAAUGGAAGCUGGUGGAGAACAAUAAGGUCCUGCUGAGGAUCCCUGGUGCCCAGUAGGGAACACCGUGAGGAGGAGGAUUAAGAAAGGCACCCUUUCCACUGAUUUGCAUCGCCAUUUGUACAUGGAGUUUGGCUACAGCAAAAUCCGUUGCUAUCUCACCAGCUACAAGAAGCAAAGAACGAAUUGCAAUUCAUUUUUGUGCUCUAGGACCCGGUUGAGGAACACACCCUUCAAAGUGCUAAUGCUGUUCCAGCUCAGCAGACACCUCGUCUCGGGAAAGCCAUUAGAAACCCCCAA
rnacentral:lncRNA from 1 species